UGGGGGAACAGAAGCUCUAUUUCUGUUAGGUUGCUAGAAUGGUUGGUGCCAUCUUGUCACCUUGAAGGGAAAGCCCACCCAAGAAUGACACCAACACAGAGGGAAGUAAACAUAGCCAAGAGGUCAGCAGAGGUGGUUCCUGGUGCCAUUAUCCAGCACCCAGCUACAGACCAGAGAGCUUCAUAAACCUAUUUCUGACUGCAGGGAGAGGCCUAUACUAGUCCACGUCAUGGAACACCUAUGGAUCAACACUGGUCAGGAGGAGACACGAAGGCCAUACCGGGAGCUGCUCUCUGAUUACCAGGACUCCUGAAACACAGAGCUCAUGGUGUCCGUGGGAUAUGAGGCAGACCACAUCCAGUCCUUGUUAGAACAAAAAUUUGAUGAUACCAUGGCCUGGUACUGAAUCCUGGGCUACAGGAAACCUGAUGCAGGGCUCCAUCAUCACAGCAAAGUCUUUGCCUUCAGUGGAUCCCACCCAACAGCUACUAGCCUUCCCCAUCACCUGAAAGAAACUCUUAUGCUUUAACAUACAAAACUUGUUAAAAACAUUGGGAAAAGGUGCACAGUUCGUAUGUUCUUCAUUUGUUCACUCUUAAGGGUACAAAGUGUCUUGUCAUUCGUGCUGGUCUAAAUAUUGUGGGUUGACACAAAAUUUGAGGUAUAGUAAGGCCAACAGGUCAGGAAACAAGUAUUGUACAACUGAAAAGAUAAUUUGUUGCCCACAGUUCCCCAGAGGACAGGCACACAACAUGCAGGACCACACAGAGAAGCACCGGUGGGGGUCAGUAGGCAGAGGGAGUGGGAGAGCUGUGGGCAAGAACCUUUGUUGUGCUUCCUUCUCGGUUUUGCCCAGGAACAGCUCCUUGGCGACAGCUUGGAUGGGUGGACUGGUGUACAGCAGGUGCCAGCACAUGGUGAAGGCCACUGGAGACUGGCAGGAAUGCACCUCACUUGGGGUAGGCUGCAAGAGCCCAGUGCUGCUCAUGCUGCCCUGGUUGCUGUGGCCACUACUGCCAUUCCCUGCUCAGCACAUCAGCAUCUGGUCUGUGCAGCCUGAUGAUGCCCUCUCUUUUCUAGUUUUAAGACUUGUGCGUUUUGUAAAGGCCUUACUGUAUGUAAAUUAGUUCUCAAUUUAAAA
rnacentral:lncRNA from 10 species